rnacentral:snoRNA from 1 species
UUCAUCUUACAAACACACUUCCGGAAUACCAAGUAGUAUGAGAUUUGCCUUCGAUUCUCUAAUUGCAUAAAUGGCUGGAAGGAGAGCAAAGCAGUGCCUGUUAAUAAUCUUCGGCCGACCGAAUACACUCGGCCGAGGUUCGCUUUAGGGCCACAU